rnacentral:tRNA from 1 species
GUGGCCGUAGCUCAUCUGGUUAGAGCGCUUGGUUGUGGCCCAAGAGGUAGCGGGUUCAAGUCCCGUCGGUCACC